rnacentral:rRNA from 1 species
AUUGAACGCUGGCGGCAGGCCUAACACAUGCAAGUCGAGCGGCAGCGGGAAAGUAGCUUGCUACUUUUGCCGGCGAGCGGCGGACGGGUGAGUAAUGCCUGGGGAUCUGCCCAAUCGAGGGGGAUAACUACUGGAAACGGUAGCUAAUACCGCAUACGCCCUACGGGGGAAAACAGGGGACCUUCGGGCCUUGCGCGAUUGGAUGAACCCAGGUGGGAUUAGCUAGUUGGUGAGGUAAUGGCUCACCAAGGCGACGAUCCCUAGCUGGUCUGAGAGGAUGAUCAGCCACACUGGAACUGAGACACGGUCCAGACUCCUACGGGAGGCAGCAGUGGGGAAUAUUGCACAAUGGGGGAAACCCUGAUGCAGCCAUGCCGCGUGUGUGAAGAAGGCCUCCGGGUUGUAAAGCACUUUCAGCGAGGAGGAAAGGUUGAUAGCUAAUAACUGCCAGCUGUGACGUUACUCGCAGAAGAAGCACCGGCUAACUCCGUGCCAGCCGCCGCCGUAA